AACAACAGGAUAACUAUCAGGAUCAGGAAGUUCAUGACCAAUACUUCAGUGGAAAUGAUGGUCUUCCGUGUCCUUCACCCUGGGAAGACAACAAUACCUAAGACAGAAAACUAGUCAAAAAGUAGAAGACCACUCUGGAUUUCAUCUUUGUAUUUAGAACCCAUUUUGGGGGUGUUAAGACAACUGGCUUGGUUAUGAUUUAUGAUUCCUUGGAUUAUGCAAAGAAAAAUUAAUCCAAACACAGACUUGCAAGACAUAAAAGAAAAAGACCUCAAGAAAACAGCUAAAGGAACUCAAGAACAGAAUGACGACAGCCAGGGAGUCACAAGAGUGUGGUGCUGGUGCUGGCAAACAG
rnacentral:lncRNA from 1 species